UUUUUUUGUGAUGAUAAGGGAGUUAAAAGAAGCCAUCUGACCAUUAAUGAUAAGGAAGAAAUCUUCAAGGCCCCAAAACCAAACUUGGAGGUGGGUAACCUCGUCACCCUCUCCUCCCCUCGGCUCCCCAUUCGGGCGACUCUCAAUUACGAGCAACUUUCACAAUCACGGGCGACUUUCGCAAUCACGAGCGACUUCCAUGGCCAUAUAAAGAAUAUGCAUAUUAGUUUGAUCAAAGAGUCACCUUCACAUCUCUUGAAAACUCUGAGUUUGAAGCCUCUACAAUCGCUAGCAUGCCAAAGCAUCUCUGCUCCAAAGCAAUACUUCUUCCCUGGGUCUAUAAAUAGGGCUCUCCAAUCCCCAUUUUGGUACCAACCAGCAGAACUAGAGACCAUGUACGGAACACCUAGAGAGCCAUAUUAACUAUGGAUCCUAGCCGUAGGCAAAUCCACUACCAAUCCCUCCCUCUGAAUCAUCUAUCAAUCAACCUUCUCCUA
rnacentral:lncRNA from 1 species